AGCCAGACUCCUACGGGAGGCAGCAGUGGGGAAUAUUGCACAAUGGGGGGAACCCUGAUGCAGCAAUGCCGCGUGAAGGAUGAAGGUUUUCGGAUUGUAAACUUCUUUUGUACGGGACGAAGAAAGUGACGGUACCGUAAGAAUAAGCCACGGCUAACUACGUGCCAGCAGCCGCGGUAAUACGUAGGGAGCAAGCGUUGUCCGGAAUUACUGGGCGUAAAGGGCGCGUAGGUGGGCGCUUAAGUCAGGUGUGAAAACUCCGGGCUCAACCUGAAGACUGCACUUGAAACUGGGUGUCUUGAGGGCAGGAGAGGAAAGUGGAAUUCCUAGUGUAGCGGUGAAAUGCGUAGAUAUUAGGAGGAACACCAGUGGCGAAGGCGACUUUCUGGACUGUACCUGACGCUGAGGCGCGAAAGCGUGGGUAGCGAACGGGAUUAGAUACCCGGGUAC
rnacentral:rRNA from 1 species